AAGCACUUCUAAGCUUAUUGUCAUAAAAAUGUACUCUAAGAUAUAGUUAAACAAAGACAUAUCGCAUAAUGGUAUAAAAAGUAUAUUCAGUUACUAUAAAACAAUAUUAAGCUACAUAUCCUCAUAUAUUUCUUUAGAAUAUUGUAUUGGUUAAUCAGUUCUGUGUUUAUUAGUAUGUGUUUGCUGAAUAAAAUGAUUAUAUUUAUUGUGGGGAGUUGGUAUAAGAACAUAACACAUCUUAAUUCUUUUCUACUUCCCCUUGCACUCCCCUAACUUGAUUGUGAUUUGACUGGCUUGAGAGACACCUAGAUAAGUAAAGCACAUUUCCAGAUGUGUCUGGGUGGAUGAAGGAGGUGUGACUUUGGGGAUAAUAUCUUGCCCCUGGCUGUUCUUCUUGAGCUCCUCUCCUGCUCUCUGCUUGUUGAAUGCAAGUGAGUUCGGCAGCUUUCCUCCAUCUUGCCUUUCCACACUGAUGUUUUUAACCUUGGAGCCAGCACACCAGAGACUGAAACUUUUGAAACUGAGCAAAAAUAAUACUCUCCUUCUUUACAUUGGGAAUGUCAGGUACUUUUUUUCAGCAAUGAAAAAGCUGGCCAGCACAAAUAUAUCUUUUAUUGUUUUGUUUUGUGUUUAGCAUUGCUGAGGUUCAAAUUCAAGACCUCAUACUUGGUAGACAAGCACUUUAAAAUUGAUCUAUAUCUCCAAAUCCUAGAAUGUAUUCUUAAAAUUGAAAUUUUUAUUAUCAAUAGAAAUUUGUCUCACAUGUGUUUAUCCCAGAUAUCUAUGUGGUAACUUCCCCUGUCUUCAAGUUUCUUUCAGAUUUUUACCACUAUUUCAUAGUUCAAAUUGUCUCUAUCCUACUAAAUCUCACUCCUUAACCUAUUCUGUUUUCCUUUUUUACAGAUUCAUCCUUUUCAAUCACACAAUAUGUGUGUCAUUUAUUAUAUUAGUUUAUUGUUGUUGUUCUUGUUCACUAAAGAGGAAAGGCUCAGUAAAUAUUUAUGGGGUGGAAACAGUGGUAAUACUAUUGUAGCUCACUUUCCAAAGUUCUCACCAAAAUGGCUAUUUGAAUUCAAGCAUGGCAUGAAAACACUUUGUGUUUGUUAUGUGCAUACAUGCACAAAUGUGUGCAUAUUACAUGCACACAUUAGCACAGUGCAGAUUAAGUACCAAAAUAUACCAAAAUAAUGGUUAAUUGCCUUACUUAUAAACUAAUGUUUUUUAAUUUUAAAGGUGAUCAUUUUAUUUUAGAAUCAGGAAAUGAAAAGGAGGUGGUUCUCCUUGCCCAAAAAAGGAAGUGUUUACUUAUAUGAUACCCAUAGGAUCAUCUUCGCGGGUGCGACCAUACCCCAGGGAGGCCACAGUGGAGACCAGGACAGUAAUCAUGGAAGAGCCUGUCCCAAGCCUCUGGAGGCUGCCCACCGGGAGCUCUCUGCUGCUCUCCCCAACAUACUCUCCUCUUGCUUCUCUGAAAUAGAUUUCUUCAAUGAGAAUCCCAGAGGCCACACAUCAGAGAUGAAUGACAGAUUUGAAAUAAAAGAACAAUAACUCAUCACAGCCAAGGAGGUGUAAAAGCACCUGUUUCUGCAGUAUUGGCCCUCAGGGUGUUGUGGAAUUAUAAGGAGGAAGGACCUCUUUCUUGGUAUGCUGGUUCAAUUCUAAAACCUCACCAAGAUGCCUGCUUUUAGCUGGAGCAGACCAGUGCACAGCCAACCAGGUCUUCCUCCAAGAAGAACUAAAAAAGUGAACAGCUAGAUUGAAUCAUUCUUUCUCUCCUGUCCCUCUCCCUCUCCUGCCGCCUCUCCCUCUCUGAAGAUGUCACUGAGAUUGCAAGCCACUAAGGACUUCAGGGUCAAAUUGCUGGAAAGAAAAGAAGUAAAGUGAUAUUAGAAAAAGGCAAAGACCAAUUGAGCAGAAGAGGAACGCAGGAGAAACCAACUUGGAUGCUCUCAUUUUUUUCAGUAUAAAUACCAACCAGUCUGUGCAUCAGCAAAAGUGAAAGAUUUAAUUUCUUUAAAAUUAACAAAAGGUAAUUCUGGAAAUCUUAUUUGAAGAAGAAUUCUCAAAAUUACUUACUUAUCUUGAUGGAG
rnacentral:lncRNA from 1 species